rnacentral:rRNA from 1 species
UACGUAGGGUGCAAGCGUUAAUCGGAAUUACUGGGCGUAAAGCGUGCGCAGGCGGUUUUGUAAGUCUGACGUGAAAUCCCCGGGCUCAACCUGGGAAUUGCGUUGGAGACUGCAAGGCUGGAGUCUGGCAGAGGGGGGUAGAAUUCCACGUGUAGCAGUGAAAUGCGUAGAGAUGUGGAGGAACACCGAUGGCGAAGGCAGCCCCUUGGGUCAAGACUGACGCUCAUGCACGAAAGCGUGGGGAGCAAACAGG